rnacentral:rRNA from 1 species
GACGGAGGGUGCGAGCGUUGUCCGGAUUUACUGGGCGUAAAGGGCGCGUAGGCGGCUUGAUCAGUCGGGUGUGAAAGGCGUGGGCUUGCCCUGCGUAAGCAUUCGAGACGGUUAGGCUGGAGUGUGGUCGAGGGAGUCAGAAUGCCGGGUGUAGUGGUGAAAUGCGUAGAGAUCCGGCGGAAUACCAGUGGCGAAGGCGGACUUCUGGGCCAUAACUGACGCUGAGGCGCGAGAGCGUGGGGAGCGAACCGG